GGGGAUUUAGCUCAGUGGUAGAGCGCUUGGGUUCGGUCCCCAGUUCCGGAAAAAAAAGAAAAGAAAAAAAAAAAAAAGAAAAAAAAAAGAGCACUGACUGCUUUUCCAGAGGUCCUGAGUUCAAUUCUCAGCAACCACA
rnacentral:tRNA from 1 species